rnacentral:rRNA from 1 species
AGAGUUUGAUCCUGGCUCAGGACGAACGCUGGCGGCGUGCUUAACACAUGCAAGUCGAACGGAAAGGCCCCUUUGGGGGUGCUCGAGUGGCGAACGGGUGAGUAACACGUGGGUGAUCUGCCCUGCACUUCGGGAUAAGCUUGGGAAACUGGGUCUAAUACCGGAUAGGACCAUGGCCUGCAUGGGUUGUGGUGGAAAGUUUUUAAUGGUGUGGGAUGGGCCCGCGGCCUAUCAGCUUGUUGGUGGGGUGAUGGCCUACCAAGGCGACGACGGGUAGCCGGCCUGAGAGGGUGUCCGGCCACACUGGGACUGAGAUACGGCCCAGACUCCUACGGGAGGCAGCAGUGGGGAAUAUUGCACAAUGGGCGCAAGCCUGAUGCAGCGACGCCGCGUGGGGGAUGACGGCCUUCGGGUUGUAAACCUCUUUCACCAUCGACGAAGGCCUGCUUUUUGGGUGGGUUGACGGUAGGUGGAGAAGAAGCACCGGCCAACUACGUGCCAGCAGCCGCGGUAAUACGUAGGGUGCGAGCGUUGUCCGGAAUUACUGGGCGUAAAGAGCUCGUAGGUGGUUUGUCGCGUUGUUCGUGAAAUUCCCUGGCUUAACUGGGGGCGUGCGGGCGAUACGGGCAGACUGGAGUACUGCAGGGGAGACUGGAAUUCCUGGUGUAGCGGUGGAAUGCGCAGAUAUCAGGAGGAACACCGGUGGCGAAGGCGGGUCUCUGGGCAGUAACUGACGCUGAGGAGCGAAAGCGUGGGGAGCGAACAGGAUUAGAUACCCUAGUAGUCC